rnacentral:rRNA from 1 species
AAUAGAUACCCUGGUAGUCCACGCCGUAAACGGUGGGCACUAGGUGUGGGCGACAUUCCACGUCGUCCGUGCCGCAGCUAACGCAUUAAGUGCCCCGCCUGGGGAGUACGGCCGCAAGGCUAAAACUCAAAGGAAUUGACGGGGGCCCGCACAAGCGGCGGAGCAUGUGGCUUAAUUCGACGCAACGCGAAGAACCUUACCAAGGCUUGACAUACACCGGAAAACCCUGGAGACAGGGUCCCCCUUGUGGUCGGUGUACAGGUGGUGCAUGGCUGUCGUCAACUCGUGUCGUGAGAUGUUGGGUUAAGUCCCGCAACGAGCGCAACCCUUGUCCCGUGUUGCCAGCAGGCCCUUGUGGUGCUGGGGACUCACGGGAGACCGCCGGGGUCAACUCGGAGGAAGGUGGGGACGACGUCAAGUCAUCAUGCCCCUUAUGUCUUGGGCUGCACACGUGCUACAAUGGCCGGUACAAUGAGCUGCGAUACCGCGAGGUGGAGCGAAUCUCAAAAAGCCGGUCUCAGUUCGGAUUGGGGUCUGCAACUCGACCCC